rnacentral:lncRNA from 1 species
ACUUUUUUUUUUUUUUCUUUUUAUGGCUGAACCUGCAUAUGGAAGUUCCUGGGCUAGAGGGUGAAUGGGAGCAGCAGCUGAGGGCUAUGCUGCAGCUUGCAGCAAUGCUAUAUCCUUAAUCCACGGAGUGAGGGCAGGGAUCAAACUUGCAUCCUCACAGACACAAUGCUGGAUCCUUAACCCACUGAACCACAACAGGAACUCCUCAUCAUCCCAUCUUAAGGUUGGGAGUAUAAUACCUAACUUACAAGUAAGAGAGGAUGCAACAUGCUCAAUGAUACAUACGCAUCAUCUAGCAUCUUUACAGAAGAAGUUUCCCACGUAAAUUCAUUUUUCAGAUAAAUUACAUUCCUUUAAGAGUAAUCUUUCAGAAAAAAAAAUGUCCUUAGUUUUAUUGAAUUAUUUAUAAAGAACAUUAAUCAUGACCUUGUUUUUUUCAGUGUGUACUAAAUAUUUGAUUUUUUUUCUUGCUAUGAGUAUGAAUAGCAAUUAUUUCAUUUAAGAGUUGUGGUGCUCUGAAAAGAUGUCUAGGUAUGGCGGGUUAUUUUUCUCCACAUUUAAUGGCCCCAGGUUAUUGUGCUUAUACUGUAUUGUUCUGAUCCCCACUUCCGCUAUUCGAAUAUUCUACUUUUUAUUUGUUUCUUUAUUUCUUAAUUUUUAGCCAUUGAGAUCCUCUGCCUUUCUAAUUAAGAUACAUGGGCUCUGGAACUUACUGGUAUUUCAGGCUGUUUAAGUUGCUUACUCUGGAUUUGCUUCAUUCUGAAAAUGCUGAAAAUCUGACCUCAAAGUACUAAAGGUUCAUGAUGAACUCUGGGAAGAACAAUGGAAAAUAUAUCUCCUUAUCUAGUUCUUUUCUAAAAUUAAUGGUAUACAAACGAAUGAAGAGUUUCCGCUGAGUACAGUCAUUAAGAACUAAACUCUCACUCUAGCUGGCUGGCUUUUCUGAAAUGCCAUAUUUUCAUAGACCUUGCCUUGAGAACUGUGCAAGCAAGCUCGGUGAACUCAUAAAAGUGCUUAGGCUACUGAUCAAGGCAAAGUAGCUUUGAAAAUAGAAAAGCAAGGGGAAAAAAAUCCAAAUAAUUAACUUGCUAAUUGUUUUCCUUAAUGCGAAUGCUAGCUAGUGAAGAUAUCUGUAGGGGUGGUAAAUGAAGCUCCCUGCAGUCUUGGCAAGGCUGGUGCCAGGCAGUCUUCAGGGGAACUGACCCUGUGAGGCAGACAGCACAGGCAGCCCUGUAGUUCCUGCUCUCUAGAAACGGAGAGCCAACAUUUUCUCCUCCAAGUUAAGAAUGAGGCUUCACAGGAAUGUUUAAAUUUCUUUUUCUUUCUAACUAUUUCUCCUAAAUGUCUGAGAAUCCAUUUAGGGAGUUCCCAUUGUGGCUCACUGGAAACAAACCCAACUAGUAUCUAUGAGGAUGUGGGUUCAAUCCCUGGCCUAGCUCAGUGGGUUGGGGAUCCAGCAUUACCGUGAGCUGUGGUGUAGGUCAGAUGUGGCUCAGAUCCCGAGUUGUUGUUGCUGUGGCUGUGGUGUAGGCUGGCAGCUGUAGCUCUGAUUCGACCCCUAGCCUAGGAGCUUCUUCCAUAUGCUGCACUUGAAGCCCUAAAAACAAAAAAAAAGCAGAAAAAAAAUUCCAUUUAUCCUUCCUAAGCGCAUUGUGGGAGUGCCUUCCUCCUUCAUCUGCUCCGUAAUGGACCUUUUGGAAGGCACCAAUGAUCACUUUCCUACAUUCCUCUUGGGCUCACUCUGGGGCUUCUACAAUUUCUGACCACAAAUACUUGCAGUAUCUCUCUUCUGAACUACAUUUUGAGAGCUGUGUUUUGUUUUGUUUUGUUUUAAUGUUUUCCUCCAGAUAGGCAAAUGCAAUCUCUUUCAGGCAGAUCCUGAAACACAGAGAUGAACGGACCUUCUCAGGAAAGUUGAAUACAAUUGGAGAGGAAGGCAGCUCUGCUGGCACAGAUGAGUCUGCAAGAGCUUGACCCAGGCUUACUGUCAUUGAUCCCUGGAGCCCAGCACAGUGCCCACCAUGGAAACACUCUGUACAUGUUAUAUUGGAUGGAAAAAUGAAAAGGACAUAUUGGUGCUGCUGCUUACCAUUACUCUUGUUGCUAUUAGCAAAUGGCUAUUGAUUGCUACUGAGUUUUCACAGCAGCUAUUGAAUCCCCCCAACAACCCGAGGUAAGGUUUGGAGGCUUGAAAAGACUCUGCCAUUGAAAGAGUGGUAACUAACCUGUCAUUCAAACCUCCCAUACUUGGGAAGGCUUGCCAAAUGUGUAACUGGAUCAGUUUGGGGGACCAGGGAUGAAAAGGGGAUGCUUGGGUUAAUCCCAGCCAAUGGUUAUGGGUAAGUGAUAGAGUCUGUAUUCUAAGCCAGGGAGCUGAAGUAUGCUGAUGGCUCUUCAAUGGUUAAAGGAAAAUACCACAGCCCCCUUCCCAUCAAAGAACUUGAAUGAAAAAUCAAGAAGGUCACAGCUUCCAUCUUGCAGUGGGUCACCCACAGGGUUUAGAAAGGAAAGAGCAGCUCCGCAUAGCUGCCUUAAGUAAGCAAGACCAACUCUAGACCCCACCAGCAAUGGCAAGCAGGAAUUCCUUGUACAUCAUCAGGCUUGGUUCUCAAAGGCUGUGAAGCCCACAGCCUACUACUUCAUACUGCCCACCAGUGGGUGGGGCUGGUCUUCUUUGCCCAAUUCUGAUUGGCUCAUGACUAAAGGGGCUGAGUCUGAGGAUGAAAUGUUACCAGCACUAGAGCGUAGCUCCUGAAGGUAGAGACUGGCAGUCCCUUCUACUUGGGGUAUAUGUUCCAAGCAGUAGUGAAAAAUUACUCUUCAAUAGAUAUUCGAAACCUGGCACUUGGCAAUAUUAUGAUAAUAAUUGGCGACUAGAAAAUGAUGCUUUAAACUUUUAAGACAAAUAAUGUUUUCAGAAAAAAAUUCUGGGGGUAUUUCACAUUCAUUUGCUCUGAGUGACUUUAUUAUUCAGAAAACAAUGUGAAAUAGAGUCAAGGCUGUGGUUUUAUAUACAAAAAGACCUAGCUUCAAAUGUCAACUCCUUAGUGUCUCAAAAAUCUGAAAGUAGAACUACCAUAUGUCCCAGCAAUUCCACCUCUGCAUAUUUAUUUGAAAAAAAAAAAUGAAAACACUAAGUUGAAAAGAUGCAUGCAGCCAAUAUUCAUAGCAGCGUUAUUUACAAUAGCCAAGAUAUGUCUUUUUGUCUUUUGUUGUUGUUGUUGUUGUUGUUGCUAUUUCUUGGGCCGCUCCUGCGGCAUAUGGAGGUUCCCAGCCCUAAAAAGCAAAAAAAAAAAAAAAAAAAAAAAAAAAAGGUAAACUACAGGAAUACAUUGUAAAACACGAGGUAUAGCCAAUAUUUUAUAAUAACUAUAAAUGGAAUGUAACUUUUAAACAUUGUGAAUCACUAUACUGUACACCUGUAACUUAUGCAAUAUUACACACCAACUAUACCUCAGUAAAAAAAUUCCAGGAGUUCCUGUUGUGGUUCAGCAGGUUAAGAACCCAACGCUGUCUCUAUAAAGAUGCAGGUUCAAUCCCUGGCCUUGUUCAGUGGGUUAAGAAUCCGGCACUGCCACAAACUGCAAUGGCUGCAGCUGCAGCUCCAAUUUGACCCCUAGCCCAGGAACUCCAUAUGCUGCAGGUGUGGUCAUAAAAAGGAAAAGAAAAAUUCCAGCUCCUUCACUGUUUGUUGAUAUUUCCAGCUAGGGAAACUUAGUCACAUUAUUUCAUUUCACUGAUCUUUGGCUUUUUCAAAUUUAACACUGAGAUAUUAAGAGCUACUUCAAAGAAGAAUUAUGUGGGAGUUAGGAGUUGAGUUAACUUAGAGUACUGAUGACAGGGCAUGGAAGACAGGUCAAGAGACUUGGAGCGAAACUGCCUGACUGUAAAUCUCAGCCAAUUACUACCUGUUGGGUGACUUACCUAAUCUCUCUGUGCCUCAGCAUUUUCACCUAUAAAAUGCAGAUAUUAAUACUACCUACCUCAUAGAGGGAAUUAACUUAUGUAAAACUUAGCUCCUUUUCUAGUACAGGGUAAGCAAUAAAAAAAGCCCUGGUGGAGUUGAGCUGUGUCCUCACUACCCUGACCUAUCACCACCUGCGGUGUUGCCUUAUCCAUUUACUGGUGUUUCUUUUAAGUGUCUGUGUUUGGUGGGGUAGGGAGUGGGUAUGGGAGGAGGAGAGAGCAAAUUCAUUGUAGCUAGACUCAUAUCAUCACCUUUGUUAAGAUGCCUUGGGGCAAAGAAAACUCUAGAAUAUGAAAAUAUGGAAUGUGAAACUCAAACACAAGGAUAUCACUCUCCAUGGGCCAGCAGCAAAAACAGAAUGAGAAGAGCAACAGAAAUAUUUCUGAGAUUCUUCUGCCUCCUGAAUCAUUCCCACCUCUGGAUACAGUCAGAAUUUUCUCCCUCAACCACUCCACUCCAGAUGCAUGAAAGUCCUCACCCAUAACUACCUUCAUCAAGAGAGUAGUUAACCAAAGGAAUGCUAGGGGAAAUCCAGCCUAGCAGUUCACACAGGGUGGGCCAUAUUUAAGAGAUACUGUCUUCUUCAGGUUGUGCCCAGAUGUUGGCAAAAUACUGACAAGUAAAUUUUUAUGAAAGUAAGGCAGAUAUUCAGAAACUUUGGGGGACUGAUCUCCAUGAAAAUGUUUUAUAGCCAUGUAAAUAAUGAAAUUGAUCAUUUGAAAAGUUCUUACUGGUGGUUCACUGAUAAUAUCAACAUGGCGGCCACAACUCACUCCCUUCUGUGCUUCUCAAGAAGCCAUUUAGAAGGUGAGUUGGUGAGAAUGACCUCAUAGGGUUAAACUUAUCCUCACUACAACCAUAAAGUGUUUGCAAACGUUAGGACUUUAUUCCUAGCAGCAAUAAAUUACUUCUCUCAGAAUCGAUUGAGACACACCAGUGUGUAAAAUUAACAUGGCUUAGAACUCCCACCUAGUCUGAUACUUCCCUUUGGAGUCGAUAAAAGUGAUGCCCAGAAAACACAAAUAAAUUGCUUGAGGCCACAUAGUUAUCAAGUAGCAAAGCUGCCACCCACCUGAAAUCAAGUCUGCUGAUCUGAGGCCAAUGCUCUUUUUAUAUAACACAUCACAUUUCCUUCAGCUGAGGCCCAAUGUGCUAUUUGAGUGAACAUCAAUUUAGUAAGGCUAAAUGCAACUCACUUUUUGUGCAAGGCAUAUACUACCUUCCCACUAGGAAAAUCAACUAUUCCACAAUUAGCCACUGGACUACUUCUUACCAAGGUGGGUGGCUAUACUGCUAUUUCAAGAUAUAUGUUACUUAUUCUAAAAUCUACAUUUUAUGGUCACACAUUAAGCUGCAAAUAGAUGUACCUUGGACUGAAAAUGCAUUUACAAAAACUUUGGACUGAGUGUUGCCUAGACAAAAAUUUGUGUCUUUACAGAAUUAUUUAUUGUAGCAGAGACUCCUUAAUGCUGAUGACAAGGUGGCCUACAGCAAUAUUUAAUAUUCAUUCACUUUUAUUCAGGCAGAAAGUUGAUAUUAGGGCAGGUCUAUUUUUAUAAAAGACAUUCUAAUUUUUCCAAAAGGAAGACACUUUUUCAAAUAUUAUUCAAAAAUAGGCACACAAAGUGUAGCCCCAAAUUGUGAUAUCAAGCAAUAACUUUGCACUGGCUGUUACAUCCAAUAACCUACUUUUGCAAACAUCUUGACCAUGCACCAGGCCUGAGAAAUGGGACCUUGCUAAUAGUGAGGACAGAAAUCUCAGGCCCUGCCAUGUGUCCUAGGCAUUGGUCACAAGAGGAAUGAAGGAUCCUCCAUUUCUGAGUGAACUGACAGCCAUUUAUUUGCUCAAUAUCUAGGCUGCAGAUGUUGGAAAAUGUCAGCCUUCAGAAGAAACAAUGACGUAACCACUGCAUCUUGACCCAAGCAGACUGCCAGAAAGGUCAUGGUUUUGCAACAGAUGGAUGAAUUUUUUUUUUAAAACCCAUACAAAGAAGUGUACAGACAAGGACAGAGAGGUAGGCAAAUAUACUUGCUUAUUCAUCCUAGAGCCUCAGGCCCAACCUGAGCAGUGAAUUGAUUGUCCCUGUGGCCUGGGUUCAGGGAAGUUUCUGCCCAGGCUUUGUUCAACCUGUCUGCUGGUCUAUCCCUGAAUCCUUUAUGCCAAGAGUAGAUUAACUGAGCAACCAGCCAUCUGGGCUGCUUUCCCAGCGAAAAAGAAAACCAUGCAGUCUGGAGGCAUUUGGGGGGUUGAGAAAGGGUAAAAAGCAACACAAAACAAACAGCCCAAACCAGAGGGGCAUGAGGAAACAUGGGGAAGGGCAUGCAGUGACUGCAGGAUAAGCGCUAGGCUUACCCAUGCUGCCUCUGAGCUUUGGCCCAAGGUCUUGCAGUCUACAGAGUGCAAAGGUCUGGAAACAGGGUGGCUAGGCCAGGAGGUGCGGGUGACCUGGGAGAGAAGCAGCAGGGCAGCUCUUGUGGUCCCCUCCCUCCUAAGCCUGAGCAGGGCACCCAGUAGGGUGGAGAGCCCAGUAGGGUGGCAGGGUGGGUCCCUCCCAGAAGAAGAAGGCACCUCUGGGGCUAAGAGAGCAGCAGCUACUGAGACAUCAGCAAGAUGAAACCAACCCUGUGACCACCAGCUCCCAUUAAAGAGGGAUUUCUUGCUCUUUGGAAUAAUAAGAGUGGGUAAACCAAAAGGAAAGAGUAUAUAGCAAAGAUAGAAGGUCCUUACCUAGCAAAGAUAGAAACUUGCUAAAAUAUAAAAUUUAUUUUACUAAAUGUGUAUCUACUUCCCUUUUAGUGCUCUUUAAUCAACAAAACAGAAUCAUUGAGCCCCAAAGGGGAGGUUUUCCCAGAGGCUUGAUCAACCUGAAGCAACUAUUACGAUAGUAGUUCAGCAAAUAAACAACUUUCAUUGAAAUGGAAAGAUUUAAUGUCAUAAAAACAGCAAUGUUUCUCCCUGAAAUAACAUAUAACAUUAUGAAGGUAUAAGUGGAAUCCUAGAGGCCUGUGUGUUUGGUUUGGCACAGCAGGGGUUAUAUUAUUUAUUUUAUUUUUGGAACUGGGUGAGAAAGUUGAUGUUGUAUUUGAGGCUAAGGAGGUCACUGAUUUGCCUUACUAUCUAUAAAACUUAUUUCAAAGUUUCUUUAAUCAAACCCACAAAGGAGCAGACAGACCAAUCAAUACAGAAUCCAGAAAAUGAUCUAAGUAUUCACAGAAAACUGACAUGUGAUAAAAAUGGUAUUUUAAUCUAGAAGAGAGAAGGGAUGGCUUAUUUUGUCCUUUCUCCACUAAAUUAAAACUUUAUAAUAAAGUUGCUAGUUUUUGUUGGCAUCACUGACUACCCAUUUUGAAAAAGUAAAUUUGGGAGUUUCCAUCAUGGCUCAGCAGUUAACGAACCCGACUAGCAUCCAUGAGGACGGGGAUUCGAUCCCUGGCCUCACUCAGUGGGUUAAAGAUCCGGCGUUGCCAUGAGCUGUGGUGUAGGUCACAGACAGGGCUCGCAUCCCACGUUGCUGUGGCCCUGGCACAGACCAGCAGCUACAGCUCCAAUUGGACCCAUGGCCUGGGAACAUCCAUAUGCCGUGGGUGCGGCCCUAAAAAGACAAAAAAGACAAAAAAAAAAAAAAAAAAAAAGAGAGAGAGAGAGAGAGAAAGGAAAAAAAGAAGCAAAUUUGGAUUCCAUCCCACACCAAAUACAAAAAUAAGUCCUAGAUGAACCAAAGGUUUAAAAAUUUAAAAACAAAAUGAGUUGUUAGGCAACAGAGGAAAUCUCCAAAACCAUAAAGAAAAAGGCAGUUUGGAUUAGAAAGAUACAUUUGAAAUGAUAAAUGAGUCCACGAUGUCAAAAGAUGAGCAACAGACUGUAAAAAUUAUCUGCAAAUCACGAAAGAUUGAGAGUUAAAUUCUGUAAUGCAUAAAAGGCAAAGGCACAGAAACCAGUACAAAAAUGAACAAGGAAUAUGAUUCAAACCUCAAAAUACAAUCCACAAGAGAGCCCAAAUGGUUAAUAAAUAAAUGAAAAAAUGUUCAACCUCACCAGUAGUCUGGAAAAUGCAAAUUAAAUGUACCACGAGAUGCCAUAUUUCAUCCAUUAGAUUGGCGUUAAUUACAAAGAACACUAAUUCCCCGUGCUGGCUAGGACAAAGGAAAAAUGUCUCUCACAUGUUGCUGGUGGAAACAUGAGUGUUACUGUUUAAGAAAGUAAUCCAUAACAUCUAAUAAAUUAAUCACAAAGUGUAGCAUUACUUGUAGUGACCUUUCCCCACAAGGAAAUCUCUGAAAAUAACCUGAAUAGCUAUCAACUGGCAAUGGCAAAGCGAAUUACGGAGCCAUUGUAUCGUUAAAACUAUAUAAAAUAUGUAAAAUGUGAGGUGUUACACAGCUAUUAAG